CCUACUCAGGAGGCUGAGGCAGGAGAAUCGUUUGAACCCAGCAGACGGAGAUUGCAGUGAGCUGAGACCGCACCAUUGCACUCCAGCCUGGAUGAGAGAGCAAGACUCCGUCUCAAAAAAAUUUAAGAACUCAUUUAUAAAGGAACAUGGUUGGGAUGUGAAGAGCUCCUUUAACAUGGCACAGAGUCUGGUGACUGGAAGGUCUAGAAGUAUAUCAGAGGAAAGGAAAAAUUAAUGGAUAAUGACCAGAUUUUACAUCCACCUAAUGGCUUGGAAUGUUCCAGUGCCAAGAGAAGGCCUUCUUGUCGCAUGUGAUUUCAUAAUAAUUAGGGCCAGCUGUGUCUGUGCGAAUCAGGUCAAGCCAGAUGCCAAACCCUAACUCAAACACUUACAGGAAGAUCCUCAUUGCCAGGAGCCUCAAACGUCCUGCAGAAAAUCAAAAAAAGAUCCCAGUCUCUUCAGUGGCACUCAACUUUUUCAAGUCACAAGAUGGAAGCGCUUUGGAAGAGGAGUAAAGGACCUGGACUCUGAUUCCAUGCCACCGCAAACUCGGGCAGGCACUUCAAAGCAGAGAGUCUCAUUUUCCACUUCUGAAAAACACAUGGUCUAGAUGAGCUCUAAGUCCUUUGCACUCAAUAAUUUCACAGUCUUUUUUAUUAUUAAUAUUAUUUUCAAUUGAAAAAUCAUAAUUGUAUAUUUAUGGGGUACAAUGUGAUGUUUUGAUAUAUGUAUUCAAUAAGGAAUUAUUAAAUCAAGAUAAUUAACAUAUCCAUCAUCUCACUUGCCUAUCAUUUAAAAAAAUUUGCCUA
rnacentral:lncRNA from 10 species